GUUUAUAUCUUUAAAAAUUAAAUUUAGAACUAUAUAAUAAUAUAGCAAUGUUUUAUGUAAAGAGUCCCUAAAUGCUGAAAUAUAAAACGUUAAUAAAAUGUGUGAUUAAAUAAAAGCAUACUUAAAUUAGAGGAACCAUCGGCUCAGUAAUUAUUUCUUGGUAUAUCUACAAUGAUAAAUUUUGCUUAAUUGUUAAAAUUAAUUUUUAUGACUUGUAUGAUAAUGAUAAAUUUUGUUUUAUUGAUUAUAUGAAUUAUUAUGACUUAUAAUAUCAAAUUCUGUUACAAUAGUUAUUUUUUUCCCGUCCACUCAUAUUGAAUUUUCAGGUUGUCCACUAAUAAGUUAAUUAAUAUGCUUAAAAAUAUGCCCCAUAUACAAGUAUACCUAUAUCAACAUGGUAUAGUAUCAUAUUUUGCAUUAAACAUCAUUCUAUAACAAAAAUUGAAACUAUUAAAUAAAUUAUAAAUACGGUGUUUUUUAUUAUCCGCAACACGUUUUAACCCCUCGCCUCGCCUCACGAGAGGCUGCCAUGUUGGUUUGAUUGUGAACGUACACCAGGGAGGUAGGAAAGUACUGUGAAUGGGCACUUGCGCUAUUUCCUUGUAUCAUGCUUUUUGGCGAUAGAGAAAAAUUUAAACAUACAUUUAUCUAAAAUAUCUUCGUAGUAAAAUUUUGACUUGCGACUUAAAAAAUACGAUAUUUUAAAAAAUAUACAGUAUGGCCCCACAUGCAUGAAACAUAAUAAUGGUGAAUAUAACUCCGAGAAGAGGACGAAAAUAAGUUAACAAAUAUCAAAGCGCAAACGAGGGGAGCGUUGAGAAUCCAAUUCCGCGAAACGACUUUCGGGUGAUGGCGAUCAAAAUCAGGAGGUAUCGGUGUCCAACAGUUGUCAACGAACAGUUGCGCGUAAGAUCGCUACCUUGUCGAAUCAGGUGUAUAUGCGAAUGUUGAUGUGGCGCUCAGGCCCGUAGACGAAAACGAAUGUAAAGAUAGUAUGUUGUGUUGUCCUGUGUGGUGUCAUCUGGUGUGGUGUAUUGAUCCAGUUCAGAGAUAAAGUGGUCACCGCAAAACGUCUUUUUUGAGAGGAGCUCCCGGAGAUCAGCAGUAGCUCUGUUUUAAAUAAAUAUUUUAACUAGUACUAAGUUUUAAAUUAUAGGUUAAAGACACCAUAAUAUGUGUAUAAAUUUUUGAAUCAAUAUAUUUAAAAGUUUUCUCCGAAAAUCUUCUGGAAA